rnacentral:lncRNA from 1 species
AUUGUUAGCAUCUUAAAAAUCAAAACAAAAAAAUCAACUGUUUCCACAGACAUGCAUCUAAAACCCUAGGAUUUAAACACUGACAUUGUGUUUAAACACUCAUCCCAGGAGUGACUAGGAAUAGGAGACAUGCUUAGAAGCAACCUUGAUAUGAUUCAAAGUGAGAUCGUAAAAAUACACCCACAACUUAGCUAAAUUAGUGAGGCUUGGAGAGAUGAAAGAAUUCUUAUCAUAAUAACCUGGAAAGGGAAAGAAAUUAUCUUUUUUUUAAUUAUCAACCCUAAAGACAGUAUCUGCAUGGAAGUUAAGAUUCAGUAGAAUAUAAGUUUCUUGAGGACAGGGACUUUUAAAAAUGCCUUUGUUUUUAUAUCCCCAGUGCCUAACUGGCUGGCACAUCUCCAGUGCUUAAUAAAUGCUUUUUAAGUUUAACUAAAUUUAAACUAAGUACUACAAUCAGUCAUCAGCAAAGGAAAGUCCACAUGGCCAUAGAAGUGUAGUUUAUUCCAGUGAGUAACUCAAACUAGUUGUCUGUUAACUAUUCUCAUUCAUUAAUCAACAAAAUUUUCGUGUUGAGUGCCGAUUGUAACAGCCCAUGUGUCAACAUAAUUAGAAUAGUGCUACUAUUUUCAGCACUGUAAAUCAUUAGCUUCUCAUCACUUAGUAGCCAAGAUUCCCACCAGUAUUCAAAGGUCUUUAUUUUCCCUAUCAAAUAAGUAUCUUGAAGAGAAUCCUAAUUACCUAGAGAAGUUAAUUUUUCUGCAGGAAACCCCAGAGUGAUUUUACUUGAAAAAGUGAGUAUUUUGAUAGUUGAAAAUUUCAACAUAUCCAUGUUUUAAAUCGGUCUGUGGUGAAGCUUCCAUCCAAAGCUCUUGCCUAACUUCAUUCUUCACUACUGGCAAGCAGAGAGGACGCCUGCUUUUAGACUCUGUAACUUUUCAUUUCAUGGUGCCCUGUUUCUUAUUCAUCUAUAGUCUCUUAAAUCAGACUAGAGUAGUGCAGUACAGAUGUUCAAGCAGGGUUCAUUCAUUCAACAAAUAUUUGUUGCACAUAGUGAUAGAGUGAACUUCUGGAAUUAAUGAACGUGUUUGUCACUGAAGCCAAAUGUGAGUAAUUUAAGUAGCAGUAUAAACACAAGGACUCAAAUAAACUGUAACCUCUGUGUUCUUUUAAACUGUGGCACAGAAAAGACUUCUUCAUUCUUAUACCCUGGGGGAAAGAGUGGGGCAUACACACACACACACACACACACACACACACACACCCCUCUAUUGGGUUUUCAGAUAAAUAAAAAAAGAAAGAGCUUAAACGUGGUUAAUGUUCUGCAUCAUAGAUUUGUUUUUACUUUAUCUGUCGGUUCAAUUCAGCAAACAUAAAUAAAUGUCUUUCUGGGUCCCCCCAAAACUGUGCAAGGUGUGUUUCUACACAGUUCCUACCUUCCAAUAGCAACUUACAAAGUCAAGUAAUGACUUAUCAAAAGAUGAUAAUACAUACUAUAUUAUGAGCAUGCUCAAAUGUAAGGUCUGAAUGCUUCUAAGAAAUUCUACGAAGUAGAAAUUGCUUCCUCUCUGAAACUAUAUAGGGCUUUGUUUUGUUUUGUUUUUUUAAAAAAGAAAUAUAGAUUGGUACAGGUAGAGGAACCCCCCCUAAAGAUCUAUACUUUAAAAUAUAAAAUAAAAAAAAUUUGUCUAUAUGUACUUGAUUUAUUUUUCCACCUACAAGUUGUUCCCCUACCCAUCAGUAGGUUGUUAACUUCUUGAGAGCAGGAACUGUCUUAUUUUUGUUCUUUUUAGCCUCAGUACUUAACAAAUGCCUAUUUCUUUGAGUUGUUGCAUAACUCCAAUUGUUUUGAAAUGAACUAGGGGACCAGUGCCUGAGUUUGUGUGUAGAUAUCUCAAACCCAGGGAUGAAGAAACAUCUUGGCCCAAGUAUUCGGUGUGAUUUGCAUAGAUCAUGGUUUCUCUUUACCAAAGAUUCAUAAUUUAAUUAUAUUGUCAUUAAAAAGAUAUGGGCCACUAAUCUAGGCCCUUUUCUUUAAAGCCUUUUAUAAUCCAUUAAUUCAAGGAAAGUCAAUGCAAGGUGAGGUAGUGAAUGGAGCUCUAGUCCUAGAAUCAGGAG